AGGGAUGUCCCAAAGUGUCUCACAGAUGUCCCAAAGCCACCCCGGGGUGUCCCAGGGAUGUCCCAAAGUGUCCCAUGAGUGUCCCAAGAUCACCCAACGCCACCCCGCGGAUGUCCCAAAGCCACCCCGGGGUGUCCCAUGGGUGUCCCAGGGAUGUCCCAAAGCCACCCCAGGCCACCCCAGGGUGUUCCACGGAUGUCCCAGAGCCACCCCGGGAUGUCCCAGGGAUGUCCCAAAG